GAUGAACGCUAGCGAUAGGCUUAACACAUGCAAGUCGAGGGGCAGCAUGAUCUUAGCUUGCUAAGGUCGAUGGCGACCGGCGCACGGGUGCGUAACGCGUAUGCAACUUGCCUUACAGAGGGGGAUAACCCGUUGAAAGACGGACUAAAACCGCAUACACUUGUAUUAUUGCAUGAUAUUACAAGGAAAUAUUUAUAGCUGUAAGAUAGGCAUGCGUCCCAUUAGCUGGUUGGUGAGGUAACGGCUCACCAAGGCGACGAUGGGUAGGGGAACUGAGAGGUUUAUCCCCCACACUGGUACUGAGACACGGACCAGACUCCUACGGGAGGCAGCAGUGAGGAAUAUUGGUCAAUGGGCGAGAGCCUGAACCAGCCAAGUCGCGUGAAGGAAGACAGUCCUAAGGAUUGUAAACUUCUUUUAUACGGGAAUAACGGGCGAUACGAGUAUUGCAUUGAAUUACCUAAGAUAAGCUCGUA
rnacentral:rRNA from 1 species